CAGCAGUGGGGAUAUUGCACAAUGGGCGCAAGCCUGAUGCAGCCAUGCCGCGUGUGUGAAGAAGGCCUUCGGGUUGUAAAGCACUUUCAGUCAGGAGGAAAGGUUAGUAGUUAAUACCUGCUAGCUGUGACGUUACUGACAGAAGAAGCACCGGCUAACUCCGUGCCAGCAGCCGCGGUAAUACGGAGGGUGCGAGCGUUAAUCGGAAUUACUGGGCGUAAAGCGUACGCAGGCGGUUUGUUAAGCGAGAUGUGAAAGCCCCGGGCUCAACCUGGGAACUGCAUUUCGAACUGGCAAACUAGAGUGUGAUAGAGGGUGGUAGAAUUUCAGGUGUAGCGGUGAAAUGCGUAGAGAUCUGAAGGAAUACCGAUGGCGAAGGCAGCCACCUGGGUCAACACUGACGCUCAUGUACGAAAGCGUGGGGAGCAAACGGGAUUAGAUACCCCGGUAGUCCACGCCGUAAACGAUGUCUACUAGAAGCUCGGAGCCUCGGUUCUGUUUUUCAAAGCUAACGCAUUAAGUAGACCGCCUGGGGAGUACGGCCGCAAGGUUAAAACUCAAAUGAAUUGACGGGGGCCC
rnacentral:rRNA from 1 species